GACGAACGCUGGCGGCGUGCUUAACACAUGCAAGUCGAACGAAGAGCGAUGGAAGCUUGCUUCUAUCAAUCUUAGUGGCGAACGGGUGAGUAACGCGUAAUCAACCUGCCCUUCAGAGGGGGACAACAGUUGGAAACGACUGCUAAUACCGCAUACGAUCUAAUCUCGGCAUCGAGGAUAGAUGAAAGGUGGCCUCUACAUGUAAGCUAUCACUGAAGGAGGGGAUUGCGUCUGAUUAGCUAGUUGGAGGGGUAACGGCCCACCAAGGCGAUGAUCAGUAGCCGGUCUGAGAGGAUGAACGGCCACAUUGGGACUGAGACACGGCCCAGACUCAUACGGGAGGCAGCAGUGGGGAAUCUUCCGCAAUGGACGAAAGUCUGACGGAGCAACGCCGCGUGAGUGAUGACGGCCGUCGGGUUGUAAAGCUCUGUUAAUCGGGACGAAAGGCCUUCUUGCGAAUAGUGAGAAGGAUUGACGGUACCGGAAUAGAAAGCCACGGCUAACUACGUG
rnacentral:rRNA from 1 species